AUAAUAACUUUUCGAAUCGCAUGGCCUGUUGCGGGGAUGUUCAUUCAAAUAUCUGCCCUAUCAACUUUCGAUGGUAGGAUAGAGGCUACCAUGGUUUCAACGGGUAACGGGGAAUAAGGGUUCGAUUCCGGGAGAGGGGAGCCUGAGAAACGGUACCACAUCCAAGGAAGGCAGCAGGGCGCAAAUUACCCAAUCCCGACACGGGGAGGUAGUGACAAUAAAUAACAAUAUAGGGCCCUCUCGGGUCUUAUAAUUGGAAUGAGUACAAUUUAAAUCCCUUAACGAGGAACAAUUGGAGGGCAAGUCUGGUGCCAGCAGCCGGGGUAAAUUCCAGCUCCAAUAGCGUAUAUUAACAGUUGUUGCAGUUUAAAAAGCUCGUAGUUGAACUUCAGGCCUGGUGGGUGGUCUGCUUAACGGCAUGUACUGUCCGGCUGGGUCUUACCUCUUGGUGAGCCGGUUGUGCCCUUUAUUGGUGUGCAUUGGGGAACCAGGAUUUUACCUUGAGAAAAUUAGAGUGUCAAAGCAGGCUUAUGCCCGAAUACAUUAGCAUGGAAUAAUAAAAUAGGACGUGUGGUU
rnacentral:rRNA from 1 species